UGUGGAGCGAACUCAAAAAAAUAAGUCUCAGUUCGGAUUGAAGGCUGAAAUUCGCCUUCAUGAAGCCGGAAUUGCUAGUAAUGGCAGGUCAGCAUACUGCCGUGAAUACGUUCCCGGGCCUUGUACACACCGCCCGUCACACCAUGAGAGUUGGGAAUACCCGAAGCCUGUGAGCUAACAUUUAUGAGGCGGCAGUCGAAGGUAGAAUCAAUGAUUGGGGUGAAGUCGUAACAAGGUACC
rnacentral:rRNA from 1 species